rnacentral:rRNA from 1 species
UACGUAGGUGGCAAGCGUUGUCCGGAAUUAUUGGGCGUAAAGCGCGCGCAGGCGGUCCUUUAAGUCUGAUGUGAAAGCCCACGGCUCAACCGUGGAAGGUCAUUGGAAACUUGGGGACUUGAGUACAGAAGAGGAAAGCGGAAUUCCACGUGUAGCGGUGAAAUGCGUAGAGAUGUGGAGGAACACCAGUGGCGAAGGCGGCUUUCUGGUCUGUAACUGACGCUGAGGCGCGAAAGCGUGGGGAGCAAACAGG